AAAGUGCGACAAGUGUCACGACUUGCAGAUUCCCGGGAGCUGACAACUCUCUGAAUGCAAAUUGCGGCUCGGCAACUCCCAGGCCGGCCAUGUGCUGCAGAGUGUUGUUGCAUUGUGCACUCCAUCUUUCGGUUCUCCGAAAGGAUUCGGGGUUGAAGGGCAUAGAGCCAGCCUCUUUUUCACCCUUUCAGCUCUGAGAUUUGCGCAAGCUCGCCCGUCGAGCCUGCCUUGAAGACCUCGGUCCAAAGGGCAGAACAGCCUCGCGAAACGGCAAGCUUUUUUGCGCUCAACCAUUUUUUUGCUGACCUCUGCAGCAUAAGAAAACCCGCUGAACUUAA
rnacentral:misc_RNA from 1 species